CACAGCUCACCAUGUGCUACCACUUCUGGUCAAAGAACUUCCCUGAGGUUCCCUGACCUGCUAGAUCCCUGCAACAGCCGGGCCAUCCGUGGAGCUGGCAGGGAGAACAGGACACUGCUGUCCAACAUGAACCUGUUGUAGGAGGAAACCUGUCUUGAAAGAAUGUGUUUUAAUAUGAGUAUUCCUGACACCUAAGAGAUAAAAGAGGAAAUCUUUGAGAGAAAAACUGAAAACAUCAGAUGAUUCAAUGAAAAUUACAGCUACUAGAACGGAUAUCAGUAGUGGUGUUUUUAUUGAAACCCAAGGGAGUCAUCUAAAGAAUCUACCACCAUGGAGCAUUUAAAAGUAUAUGAUGCAGACAUUACCAACCAAAACUAAGAACCAUGAACUCCUCAAGUCCACACCACAGGCAUGAGAAGCAGGAUCUGUGGAUGCUGAAUUCUGCCAAGCCAAGAGCAUGGGGAAUGUAUAAUACAUGGAUCUACAGCACAGCCUGUAUUUUCCACUUCAUAGUUUUCCUGUAUCAACGUGAGAUCAAGGAUUUCUAAUAGUGUCCACAGAUUGUCACAUGUGUCCUGCGGAGUUUUUAACUGUGAAGGAGGCAGAUUCUUCAUCCAGUUAACAAGCAUGAAUAAGAUAAUGAAGUCCAGUAAGCUGUGAAUGACAUCAAAUUCAGAUGAGAUUUCUUUUCUUUCAGAAAACUAUAAGCUCUGUCUUGAGAAAGGAUGACGUGGUACUGACCUCAAUCCUUUCUACUGCUGAUGGUGGUGGUGGUGGUGGUGAUGAAGACGAAGAUGAAGAUGAUGAAGAUGAUGAACACUGCUAUUGAUAACAAUACUGGACAAAAUAUUUUGAACACUGACUAUGUACAGGCACUGUCCCGUGUGCUUUAUGUGUUUUGAUCCCAUUAAGAGUAUUCUUCUAUGGCUUUGGAGAAAGAAAUACUUUCAAAGCAUGCACUUGUCCUGUAAAUUAAAAAAAAAAAAAAAAAGACAUGAUGACUGUCUAAGUCAACUUGCAGCAAUAGAAAAUAAUUCUGUUUCCAGCAGCUGUUCUUGUUACUGCCAAGAUGGGGUAGUAUUCCUCCCAGAUGAGAAAGUGAAGGACUUUGUUUCCAUGGAGACAGAGAGGUUUCUAGAAACUCUAGUCCUCUCAUCUGAUGUUAGCUUAUCACAACUCUGACAGACAUCAUAGAAUUUUAAUAUUUAUCCUUCUUUUGUUUCUUAUGGUGUUCCACAAAGAG